UUCAUGACUGACAGCAGAACAGAACACAAUCUUCAUCAUCACACAACACAAACAACAACAAUGACCUUCAGCAUCAUCUUCAUCUGGACUUUUGCCGUUUUUAUUCAAGGAUCCAGAGGAGUCACUCUGACUCAACCUAAAGUUAAAACUGUUCAACAGGGACAAACAGCCACUAUAGAGUGUCAUAUAGAUGUUGGGAUAUACAGCACCUACUUAGCCUGGUAUAAUCAGAAACCUGGAGAAGCUCCUAAACUCCUCAUUUAUUAUAUAAGUACUCUUCAGUCUGGAACUCCAUCUAGAUUCAGUGGCAGUGGAUCUGGAAGUGAUUUCACUCUGAGCAUCAGUGGAGUCCAGACUGAAGAUUCAGGAGAUUAUUACUGUCAGAGUGAACACUAUAUCAACAGUAAAUAUGUGUUCACACAGUGA